CCUACGGGGGGCUGCAGUCGAGAAUCUUCUGCAAUGGACGAAAGUCUGACAGAGCGACGCCGCGUGCGGGAUGAAGGCCUUCGGGUUGUAAACCGCUGUCAGUGGGAAGGAAGUACGUGGGGGUUCUCCCCCAUGUUUGACUGAACUUCAGAGGAAGGACGGGCUAAGUUCGUGCCAGCAGCCGCGGUAAUACGAACCGUCCAAACGUUAUUCGGAAUCACUGGGCUUAAAGAGUCCGUAGGCGGCCAAUUAGGUGAGGUGUGAAAUCCCCCGGCUCAACCGAGGAAUUGCGCUUCAAACCAAUUGGCUAGAGGAAGAUAGAGGAAAGCGGAACUGAUGGUGGAGCGGUGAAAUGCGUUGAUAUCAUCAGGAACACCGGUGGCGAAAGCGGCUUUCUGGGUCUUUUCUGACGCUGAGGGACGAAAGCUAGGGGAGCGAAC
rnacentral:rRNA from 1 species